rnacentral:tRNA from 1 species
GCCAGUGUGGCUCAGUGGACAGAGCGUCAGCCUGCGGACUGAAAGGUCCCAGGUUCGAUUCCGGUCAAGGGCA